rnacentral:rRNA from 1 species
GGUUAAGCGACUAAGCGUACACGGUGGAUGCCCUGGCAGUCAGAGGCGAUGAAGGACGUGCUAAUCUGCGAUAAGCGUCGGUAAGGUGAUAUGAACCGUUAUAACCGGCGAUUUCCGAAUGGGGAAACCCAGUGUGAUUCGUCACACUAUCAUUAACUGAAUCCAUAGGUUAAUGAGGCGAACCGGGGGAACUGAAACAUCUAAGUACCCCGAGGAAAAGAAAUCAACCGAGAUUCCCCCAGUAGCGGCGAGCGAACGGGGAGCAGCCCAGAGCCUGAAUCAGUGUGUGUGUUAGUGGAAGCGUCUGGAAAGGCGCGCGAUACAGGGUGACAGCCCCGUACACAAAAAUGCACAUGCUGUGAGCUCGAUGAGUAGGGCGGGACACGUGGUAUCCUGUCUGAAUAUGGGGGGACCAUCCUCCAAGGCUAAAUACUCCUGACUGACCGAUAGUGAACCAGUACCGUGAGGGAAAGGCGAAAAGAACCCCGGCGAGGGGAGUGAAAAAGAACCUGAAACCGUGUACGUACAAGCAGUGGGAGCACGCUUAGGCGUGUGACUGCGUACCUUUUGUAUAAUGGGUCAGCGACUUAUAUUCUGUAGCAAGGUUAACCGAAUAGGGGAGCCGAAGGGAAACCGAGUCUUAACUGGGCGUUAAGUUGCAGGGUAUAGACCCGAAACCCGGUGAUCUAGCCAUGGGCAGGUUGAAGGUUGGGUAACACUAACUGGAGGACCGAACCGACUAAUGUUGAAAAAUUAGCGGAUGACUUGUGGCUGGGGGUGAAAGGCCAAUCAAACCGGGAGAUAGCUGGUUCUCCCCGAAAGCUAUUUAGGUAGCGCCUCGUGAAUUCAUCUCCGGGGGUAGAGCACUGUUUCGGCAAGGGGGUCAUCCCGACUUACCAACCCGAUGCAAACUGCGAAUACCGGAGAAUGUUAUCACGGGAGACACACGGCGGGUGCUAACGUCCGUCGUGAAGAGGGAAACAACCCAGACCGCCAGCUAAGGUCCCAAAGUCAUGGUUAAGUGGGAAACGAUGUGGGAAGGCCCAGACAGCCAGGAUGUUGGCUUAGAAGCAGCCAUCAUUUAAAGAAAGCGUAAUAGCUCACUGGUCGAGUCGGCCUGCGCGGAAGAUGUAACGGGGCUAAACCAUGCACCGAAGCUGCGGCAGCGACGCUGAUGCGUUGUUGGGUAGGGGAGCGUUCUGUAAGCCUGCGAAGGUGUGCUGUGAGGCAUGCUGGAGGUAUCAGAAGUGCGAAUGCUGACAUAAGUAACGAUAAAGCGGGUGAAAAGCCCGCUCGCCGGAAGACCAAGGGUUCCUGUCCAACGUUAAUCGGGGCAGGGUGAGUCGACCCCUAAGGCGAGGCCGAAAGGCGUAGUCGAUGGGAAACAGGUUAAUAUUCCUGUACUUGGUGUUACUGCGAAGGGGGGACGGAGAAGGCUAUGUUGGCCGGGCGACGGUUGUCCCGGUUUAAGCGUGUAGGCUGGUUUUCCAGGCAAAUCCGGAAAAUCAAGGCUGAGGCGUGAUGACGAGGCACUACGGUGCUGAAGCAACAAAUGCCCUGCUUCCAGGAAAAGCCUCUAAGCAUCAGGUAACAUCAAAUCGUACCCCAAACCGACACAGGUGGUCAGGUAGAGAAUACCAAGGCGCUUGAGAGAACUCGGGUGAAGGAACUAGGCAAAAUGGUGCCGUAACUUCGGGAGAAGGCACGCUGAUAUGUAGGUGAAGUCCCUCGCGGAUGGAGCUGAAAUCAGUCGAAGAUACCAGCUGGCUGCAACUGUUUAUUAAAAACACAGCACUGUGCAAACACGAAAGUGGACGUAUACGGUGUGACGCCUGCCCGGUGCCGGAAGGUUAAUUGAUGGGGUUAGCGCAAGCGAAGCUCUUGAUCGAAGCCCCGGUAAACGGCGGCCGUAACUAUAACGGUCCUAAGGUAGCGAAAUUCCUUGUCGGGUAAGUUCCGACCUGCACGAAUGGCGUAAUGAUGGCCAGGCUGUCUCCACCCGAGACUCAGUGAAAUUGAACUCGCUGUGAAGAUGCAGUGUACCCGCGGCAAGACGGAAAGACCCCGUGAACCUUUACUAUAGCUUGACACUGAACAUUGAGCCUUGAUGUGUAGGAUAGGUGGGAGGCUUUGAAGUGUGGACGCCAGUCUGCAUGGAGCCGACCUUGAAAUACCACCCUUUAAUGUUUGAUGUUCUAACGUUGACCCGUGAUCCGGGUUGCGGACAGUGUCUGGUGGGUAGUUUGACUGGGGCGGUCUCCUCCUAAAGAGUAACGGAGGAGCACGAAGGUUGGCUAAUCCUGGUCGGACAUCAGGAGGUUAGUGCAAUGGCAUAAGCCAGCUUGACUGCGAGCGUGACGGCGCGAGCAGGUGCGAAAGCAGGUCAUAGUGAUCCGGUGGUUCUGAAUGGAAGGGCCAUCGCUCAACGGAUAAAAGGUACUCCGGGGAUAACAGGCUGAUACCGCCCAAGAGUUCAUAUCGACGGCGGUGUUUGGCACCUCGAUGUCGGCUCAUCACAUCCUGGGGCUGAAGUAGGUCCCAAGGGUAUGGCUGUUCGCCAUUUAAAGUGGUACGCGAGCUGGGUUUAGAACGUCGUGAGACAGUUCGGUCCCUAUCUGCCGUGGGCGCUGGAGAA